rnacentral:tRNA from 3 species
GCCCCCGUAGCUCAGUGGAUAGAGCAACGGUUUCCUAAAUCGUGGGUCGGACGUUCGAGUCGUCUCGGGGGCA